UCUCUGAUAGUAUAUCGGUUAGUAUACGCGCCUGUCAGUAGGACGCGCGAAAGCUGGGUUCGACUCCCAGUCAGAGAG
rnacentral:tRNA from 1 species